rnacentral:rRNA from 1 species
CCGUUUUCGGAGGUACUCGAGUGGCGAACGGGUGAGUAACACGUGGGUGAUCCGCCCUGCACUCUGGGAUAAGCCUGGGAAACUGGGUCUAAUACCGGAUAGGACCGCACUUUAGUGUGUGUGGUGGAAAGUUUUUUCGGUGUAGGAUGAGCCCGCGGCCUAUCAGCUUGUUGGUGGGGUAAUGGCCUACCUAGGCGGCGACGGGUAGCCGGACUGAGAGGUUGGUCGGCCACAUUGGGACUGAGAUACGGCCCAG